rnacentral:lncRNA from 1 species
UGAAAUUUCAUUAGUGAACUUUUUAAAAAAUGGACACAUAUUUUUGAAUAAAUAUCUGAAGAUUCCUCAUUAAGUCAACAGAAUCUGAAUUUGCCAUCUGAUACAUAUGAAAUGUAUUUCAAUGAAAAAACAUACCCCGAAUGCAAGGUUUAUUUCUUCUUUAAAAGAGUAUAUUCACUUGCUUCAGGAAGUUGCCAAAAAUAGGGCCAUUUCCCAAAGGCAUUUCUUCUACAACAUUUGGUGAGAGAAUAAAGGGAUCUGAGCUUCCUGACCAAGAAGUCCAAUAAAGUGAAGCUGAUCCCGGCACAGGCUCUAAGUCACAAACAUUUAGAAGCAUUGGUUGGUUUCCCACAAAAUUUCCAUAUGCCCUUAUUUACACCUCUCACAAGGCAUAAUUUUGACUCAGAGUUAAAUAAUCUGUCACAGAAAAACUGUAAACUUUUUGAAAAGUUCUGGUUAUUAUAAUAUUUCUGCAUUUAUAUUCCAUCACAUCAGUAUUAAAGGCUUUCAGUUACAGUGCUGCUGGGGAUAAAGAGCUAAAAUGCCUUUGCUCACAGGUGCAUUAAAUCCUAUUAAAGAAUCUUCCUUAUAGCACAUACCUCAUUACUGCAUACAAAGGGCUGGAUUAUAAAAUGAAGGUGAAGUGUACAAAGUAUGAUGUGCUAUGACUUGGUGUGCAUAUGCCAAAGUCAUUAGGUUUUACACUGUACCCCGACGAUAGCAGGUUUCAUCUUCCUAUUGAGCAGCUUCAGUGGAGAAUGCUUCUGGGUCAAGUAGACUGACAUGGGGUUAUGUUUCUCAAUACAG